rnacentral:rRNA from 1 species
UGGGGAAUAUUGCACAAUGGGGGAAACCCUGAUGCAGCGACGCCGCGUGAACGAAGAAGGUAUUCGUAUCGUAAAGUUCUGUCCUAUGGGAAGAUAAUGACAGUACCAUAGAAGAAAGCUCCGGCUAAAUACGUGCCAGCAGUCGCGGUAAUACGUAUGGAGCGAGCGUUGUCCGGAAUUAUUGGGCGUAAAGGGUACGCAGGCGGUUUAAUAAGUCGAAUGUUAAAGAUCGGGGCUCAACCCCGUAAAGCAUUGGAAACUGAUAAACUUGAGUAGUGGAGAGGAAAGUGGAAUUCCUAGUGUAGUGGUGAAAUACGUAGAUAUUAGGAGGAAUACCAGUAGCGAAGGCGACUUUCUGGACACAAACUGACGCUGAGGUACGAAAGCGUGGGGAGCGAACAGG